CCAAAGGGAAGCGAUUGCGAUUGGUAGCGAGCGUACAGGGAGAGAGGGAAGGAAGAAAGAAGAGGAGCAGCAAUGGAGUUUAGAUUCAGAUUGAAAACUACUUAAUAGAAGAAAAAACAUCAUGAUCCCCUCAGUUUUUCAAUAUCCACACGCUCCUCCUUUUGGCCGCUUCGAAUACUCUUCUCUUUUACCUUCUUCAACCCUCUGUGUCCAUCGCCGCCUCCGCCGUCGCUUCC
rnacentral:misc_RNA from 1 species